rnacentral:lncRNA from 13 species
CAAUGUAAGAACAAACUUUUCAUGACUCAACAAUAUCUUUUAAAGAGCACCUUUGGAUCAAGAGUUUUAGUGCAGGGCUUGUUUCUAUUCNNNNNNNNNNCGCUUGCUGUCAGUCUUAUCUCCCAACACUCCGAUGCAGAUUGGGAUUAUAGUGACUAGUAUUCUGACAUCCUGCUCUGGAAGAGGGACCGCUUGCUGUCAGUCUUAUCUCCCAACACUCCGAUGCAGAUUGGGAUUAUAGUGACUGUAGUAUUCUGACAUCCUGCUCUGGAAGAGGGACCACUUGCUGUCAGUCUUAUCUCCCAACACUCCAAUUCAGAUUAGGAGCCUAGUGACUGUAGUAUUCUGACAUCCUGCUCUGGAAGAGGGACCACUUGCUGUCAGUCUUAUCUCCCAACACUCAGAUUGGGAUUAUAGUGACUGUAGUAUUCUGACAUCCUGCUCUGGAAGAGGGACCACUUGCUGUCAGUCUUAUCUCCCAACACUCAGAUUGGGAUUAUAGUGACUGUAGUAUUCUGACAUCCUGCUCUGGAAGAGGGACUGCUUGCUGUCGGUCUUAUCUCCCAACACUCCAAUUCAGAUUAGGAGCCUAGUGACAGUAGUAUUCUGACAUCCUGCUCUGGAAGAGGGACCGCUUGCUGCCCUUUGUCCAGCGGUCGAGGACCAACCCAGGUCAUCACAUUCAUUAGUGGGAAGCUGCUGCUGCCAUUGGUAGA